rnacentral:lncRNA from 1 species
UGCCUAAAUAUAACUAAAGAGAUCCAUUUAUUUUUAGUGUUUGAUUAAAAACCCUCAAAGGAAAAGAGAAAUUUUGAUCUUUGAGAAGAGCUGUUUCAUCACAGGGUGAAGUUGUUUCCUGAGCCCUUUGAUCUGAAAUGACCUUGCGACCUGGAACCAGCAGACAGCCUGAGGGAGGCAGUGCAUGUUCUGAGCCAGGGCCUCAGGAGGCCUGCAGCUGCCAUUCUGCUUCUGUUGGAACAUGACCUCCUUGAGAACACUCCCAGGCCUGACUGCAGGGUGGGGAGACCACACAGAGCAGAGCCGAGCCACCGGGAUGAGGCCCCUAGAUCACCCAGCUCCCAGCUGACCACAGAUCAUGAGUGAUCCCGUUUCUCCCUAGGUCAAGGGUGAUGUUUUGCUCAGAGAAAACUGAAGUUUGGAUUGUUCCAGUCCUGCAUCACAUCCUGUUUCAGGCUGCCCUAAAACAAAACCAGAAACAACCAUCACCACAAAACACCAUACCUUCAAUAGUCUUCUCAGUGUUCAGAAUAAAGGCUCUGGUUUUCC